rnacentral:rRNA from 2 species
GAGUUUGAUCCUGGCUCAGGAUGAACGCUGGCGGCGUGCCUAAUACAUGCAAGUCGAACGAGUUCUGAUUAUUGAAGGGUGCUUGCAUCUUGAUUUAAUUUUGAACGAGUGGCGGACGGGUGAGUAACACGUGGGUAACCUGCCCUUAAGUGGGGGAUAACAUUUGGAAACAGAUGCUAAUACCGCAUAAAUCCAAGAACCGCAUGGUUCUUGGCUGAAAGAUGGCGUAAGCUAUCGCUUUUGGAUGGACCCGCGGCGUAUUAGCUAGUUGGUGAGGUAACGGCUCACCAAGGCAAUGAUACGUAGCCGAACUGAGAGGUUGAUCGGCCACAUUGGGACUGAGACACGGCCUAAACUCCUACGGGAGGCAGCAGUAGGGAAUCUUCCACAAUGGACGCAAGUCUGAUGGAGCAACGCCGCGUGAGUGAAGAAGGCUUUCGGGUCGUAAAACUCUGUUGUUGGAGAAGAAUGGUCGGCAGAGUAACUGUUGUCGGCGUGACGGUAUCCAACCAGAAAGCCACGGCUAACUACGUGCCAGCAGCCGCGGUAAUACGUAGGUGGCAAGCGUUAUCCGGAUUUAUUGGGCGUAAAGCGAGCGCAGGCGGUUUUUUAAGUCUGAUGUGAAAGCCCUCGGCUUAACCGAGGAAGUGCAUCGGAAACUGGGAAACUUGAGUGCAGAAGAGGACAGUGGAACUCCAUGUGUAGCGGUGAAAUGCGUAGAUAUUUGGAAGAACACCCGGGGCGAAGGCGGCUGUUUGGUCUGUAACUGACGCUGAGGCUCGAAAGCAUGGGUAGCGAACAGGAUUAGAUACCCUGGUAGUCCAUGCCGUAAACGAUGAAUGUUAGGUGUUGGAGGGUUUCCGCCCUUCAGUGCCGCAGCUAACGCAUUAAGCAUUCCGCCUGGGGAGUACGACCGCAAGGUUGAAACUCAAAGGAAUUGACGGGGGCCCGCACAAGCGGUGGAGCAUGUGGUUUAAUUCGAAGCAACGCGAAGAACCUUACCAGGUCUUGACAUCUUUUGAUCACCUGAGAGAUCAGGUUUCCCCUUCGGGGGCAAAAUGACAGGUGGUGCAUGGUUGUCGUCAGCUCGUGUCGUGAGAUGUUGGGUUAAGUCCCGCAACGAGCGCAACCCUUAUGACUAGUUGCCAGCAUUUAGUUGGGCACUCUAGUAAGACUGCCGGUGACAAACCGGAGGAAGGUGGGGAUGACGUCAAAUCAUCAUGCCCCUUAUGACCUGGCUACACACGUGCUACAAUGGAUGGUACAACGAGUUGCGAGACCGCGAGGUCAAGCUAAUCUCUUAAAGCCAUUCUCAGUUCGGACUGUAGGCUGCAACUCGCCUACACGAAGUCGGAAUCGCUAGUAAUCGCGGAUCAGCACGCCGCGGUGAAUACGUUCCCGGGCUUUGUACACACCGCCCGUCACACCAUGAGAGUUUGUAACACCCGAAGCCGGUGGCGUAACCCUUUUAGGGAGCGAGCCGUCUAAGGUGGGACAAAUGAUUAGGGUGAAGUCGUAACAAGGUACCCGU